GGCAGCUUUAUCGCCAGAGUCCCUGAACUCUCGCUUUCUUUUUAAAUCCCCUGCAUUGGAUCACCGGCGUGCCCCACCAUGUCAGACGCAGCCGUAGACACCAGCUCCGAAAUCACCACCAAGGACUUAAAGGAGAAGAAGAAGUUGUGGAAGAGGCAGAAAAUGGAAGAGACACCCCUGCUAACGGGAAUGCUAAUGAGGAAAACGGGGAGCAAGAGGCUGACAAUGAGGUAGACGAAGAAGAGGAAGAAGGUGGGGAGGAAGAGGAGGAAGAAGGUGAUGGUGAGGAAGAGGAUGGAGAUGAAGAUGAGGAAGCUGAGUCAGCUACGGGCAAGCGGGCAGCUGAAGAUGAUGAGGAUGACGAUGUUGAUACCAAGAAGCAGAAGACCGACGAGGAUGACUAGACAGCAAAAAAGGAAAAGUUAAACUAAAAAAAAAGGCCGCCGUGACCUAUUCACCCUCCACUUCCCGUCUCAGAAUCUAAACGUGGUCACCUUCGAGUAGAGAGGCCCGCCCACCGUGGGCAGUGCCACCCGCAGAUGACACGCGCUCUCCACCACCCAACCCAAACCAUGAGAAUUUGCAACAGGGGAGGAAAAAAGAACCAAAACUUCCAAGGCCCUGCUUUUUUUCUUAAAAGUACUUUAAAAAGGAAAUUUGUUUGUAUUUUUUAUUUACAUUUUAUAUUUUUGUACAUAUUGUUAGGGUCAGCCAUUUUUAAUGAUCUCGGAUGACCAAACCAGCCUUCGGAGCGUUCUCUGUCCUACUUCUGACUUUACUUGUGGUGUGACCAUGUUCAUUAUAAUC